UACGGAGGGUGCGAGCGUUAAUCGGAAUUACUGGGCGUAAAGCGCACGUAGGCGGUCAGAUAAGUCGGAUGUGAAAGCCCUGGGCUUAACCUGGGAACUGCACUCGAUACUGUCUGGCUAGAGUAUGGGAGAGGGAAGCAGAAUUUCCGGUGUAGCGGUGAAAUGCGUAGAUAUCGGAAGGAAUACCAAUGGCGAAGGCAGCUUCCUGGCCCAAUACUGACGCUCAGGUGCGAAAGCGUGGGGAUCAAACAGG
rnacentral:rRNA from 1 species